AUGUGCUAGAAACUAGCAAAAUGAAAUGAAGGACACUAAUAAGAGCUCUGGAGCAGAAUCUAACAUAAGUAUAGUUAUGAAAGUAACUUACUUAUUAUAAGGGCAUAGGAACGAUGUGUACGAUUACGUACAUACAUGAAUUAAACAUUUGCCAAGAUCCCAAAUGCGUUUAGGUUGUAGUAAGUAUAGUGGAUGAACAACUUGAAAGAGGUAAGAGUAGAAUGGUCUAGUUUGAAUGAGAAAGGUUUCGGGGACGAAACCUCUUUUAAGGGGGGGUAGACUUGUAACGCCCCAAAAUUAUGCAAAUUAAUUAUGUUACUUAAGAUGUCUAGUCAUGUAUUAUUUUACCUAGUUAAGUAUGUAUAUGUUAGUAACUUGAUUAGAAGGAAGGUUAUAUGACAAAUAAAAUAUCUAAGUAAAUAGGAGGACUAAACUUGUUAAAAGGUUGAAAGUUUAAUAAAUAAAAGAAAAAAAAAAUAAAAUAAAAACACACACCCUGGUGUGAUGGCGUGGAUCGAUCAGAGCAAAGGGGGGAGAAGACAAACCCUAACUUCAUGAAAUUCUCAAGAAUUGAAAGAGAUUAGGAGCCCAAACUAAUGCAUGAACUCGAAACCUCAAUCAUCUAAGCUUGUACAACAAGCGGAACGUGUCAAGGAGAGGUCAAGCAUAGGAGGAUAACGGGUCAAGAUAAGGCAAGAUGACAAAUACACUUAUUGGAGUACUCGAGGUAAGUGAAUUUCGAUUCACUUUUUAGUAGGUUUAAUAGAUUUUAAUACUUAUGUUUACGAAACAUCAUGAAAGAACAUGUAAUAAUCAGAAGUACAAAGCCAAUAAUGCCUCAUUAUUGAAGAAGGUUGUAUUUAAGCCGAAAGUAAAUUGGUGGGUUUAAACGGGUCGAAUUUUAUGUGCAUAUGUUGCGUAAUGAAAUGAAAUUCGUUAUGGUUAAGACCUUGGGUAAGAAUUUUAGUCAUUAUGUAAGGGGAACAUUUCCCGGACCAUUAGGUACAAGUUUUAUAUGAUUCGGUUGUCGGUCAAUGAAUGAACGGAUUGUUUCGUUUUAGUGUAGGAAAUUUUAUAAGUAUAUGUGUAUAGGAAUCCAAAGGCCACGUGGGUUGAAUCGUAGAUUGUCUAUACUAUGUAAAGUUUUGAAUGUGACAUUCCGGCAUAAACCUACAUGUAAAAGAAGCUUGUGUAUAUAUUCGUGAUUAAUUGAUUUUGCGAAGGAAGGAACAUUGGCAUGAAUGAAGGUACGCACAUAUAUAUAUGUAUGUAUGUAUGAUAAUAAGUACGUAGGUGUGAAUGUAUGUGUGAAUGAAUGUUCAAUGCUUAAGACAUAUGCAUGAACGUAUCAAAGGGUUCGAGUAUUUAUGGAUACUAAUGAUGUGCGUUGAGUUGGAAUGUAAUGUAGGUAUGGGGUCGUUGGCUUCAUGAAGAAAUGGAGCUGGAUUUGGAUAAGAGUAUUUAAGAAAGCGCUUGGACAAUUCCACGACUACUUUAUAGAAUGCUCUACGAAAUUUUAUUAUAUAGUUUAAUGUUGAAUGGUUUGUUAAUAACUAAUGGUUUGGUUGUACGUGGUGUCCACAGGUAUCGCUUGGGUUUUCUCUACUUUUAUUGAAGUGAAGCGGACUUAGUUCGAGUUGAGAGCAAGGAUUGUACGGGGUAGAAUGGUCACAUAGUGUAACUUAUAUAGGUUUUGAAGUAUCAAUGUUAUAAAACGUUAUAAAUCCGUUUUAAUGAAUAUAUGGCAUUUCGCAUUUGAACUUUCAUGUGUUUGAUAUGUCUAUUAAAGAACGAAAUUUUUGGGCUCU